UACGAAGGGGGCUAGCGUUGUUCGGAAUCACUGGGCGUAAAGCGCACGUAGGCGGAUCUUUAAGUCAGGGGUGAAAUCCCGAGGCUCAACCUCGGAACUGCCUUUGAUACUGGGGAUCUCGAGUCCGGGAGAGGUGAGUGGAACUGCGAGUGUAGAGGUGAAAUGCGUAGAUAUUGGGAGGAACACCAGUGGCGAAGGCGGCUCACUGGCCCGAGUACUGACGCUGAGGCGCGAAAGCGUGGGGAGCAACAGG
rnacentral:rRNA from 1 species